AAACCAAAGGUAUCCAUGAAGACUUUGCUUCCUUCUUCCAGUAGCUCACAGAGACCAAAGUUGGCACACAGUACCCUCCUAACACCAAACACUCUACAAUUCCUUCUACUUGGGAUGUGUGAAAGCACAGACGGAUGGAGACGUGGCUACUUGGAAAUUGUCCUUAAAGGAACCACAGAAUCAUAUUUUAGAGCUGAGUGAAUGGGGCCCCUGGAUUGCACCUGCAACCUCAUGUUCUAGAAUGUUGGUUCCAUGAAGGCAUGAUUUUGUCUCUUUGGUUCACUACUGAUACCAGUGCCUGGAGAUGUUAAGUAGAUAAAAAACCAAGAAAAGCGAGGGAGAAAAUUCAAUACAUUUGAGAACAAAGGCAGCCAUGAACCUUUCCAUCUUGAGAACCUGAAUAUGUAGCCAAAUCUCAGCAGACAGAGGUGUAUAAUGCCAGAUAAAUCUUGCUGAAUGAGAGACCCAUCCUACUGGUAUAAACAACAUUUGAACACUACAGCCCCCACCCUUAUCAGCCAGACCUCCAUUUUCUAUACAUAGAGUCUUUGUUGGAACACUCCAAGCCAGUUAUUUCACCAACCUAGGUCUGGUCCCUCUCUAAGGCCCAGGGACAAAUAAUCAGUUCAGGAUUGAAUUGAGAAAAGAUAAUACUACCUUGACGGAAAAGAACCACAGGACCAAACUGAACCUGUCAAGACUUAAGGGGCCAAGGGAUAGAGGGUCCCCCUCCCGAAGGAGCAAACAAAGGCAGGCAACAAUUGGGUGACCUGUUAAAGAGAAAAGAAGCUCAGGACAGGGGAAGUGCCACUUUCUAGUAUUACAAAAAUAUCCUUUAGGCAAGGUGAGGCCUUUUUUGACUCUGACACUAUUUUUUUUUUAAACCAACCCUGAAAGAAAGAUGAUAGGGUCAAGGUUAGUUGACAGAACAGCAGGUAGGGAAGGAGAUGAGACAUUCAGACAUCAGGAGUGUGAGCAAGACAGUCUUCUUCUCUGCACCUGAGUAAUCUUCUUUCUACAUCAGGCCUAAUGUCCCUUCCCAUGUUUCCUGAGUAGUCAAGGAAGCAACAAACCCAAGUGGUUAGGAGUGAGAACUAAGAAUCAGAUGGGCCUGGUUUGCAUUCCAUUGUUGUUACUGGCUAGCUGUGCAACCCAUGGCAAGCCACUGCAAGUCUCAGAGCUUUGGUUUCCUUACAUGUGAAAAUGACAAAUAUAGGGCCAGCGUAACACAAGCAUGGUGAACACCUGAUGAUGCAAUAUGUGCAAAGUGCUUAACGUAGUUCCUGGUACAAUAUUAAGCACUUCAUAAAUGUCUGCUGUUAUGAUUAUCAAUCAAAACACAGCAGUAAUAAAUUAAGGCAUGUUACUGGAGCUUAGCUUUCCUACCGAUAAAGAACUAGACAAUCUCAAGUGUUCCUUCAGCUCUGCUGUUUAUCUGGAAAAUCACGACAGACACUCAGUAAUACAGAAAUGUCUGCUCCAGACCACGUGAACUGGAGAAGAGAAUUUGGUUCUCUUCAGCUUCAAUCCAUGUUUGGGUUCGUAAGUUUUGCUGCCUUUCUUCUUUUCUCUACGUAUAGACACCUAGGGAAACUCAAGAUGCCAGAGAUCCUUGACACCUGGCUACAUGGUAGGCUGUGUGACGAUGGAGUCGAGAGCUGAACCACGCAAGGACAGAGGGCCUCUGCAGGAACUCUGGGAAUCAGCAUGUUGGUACCUACGUGGAGUUCUCCUUCCAGACCCAGAAACUGGAGCACACAAGGCACUGGGGAAAUGACCAGCAACUUCACAGCCCAAGGAUUCUCUGACUGGUUGAGGGGUCUAAUGUAUUCUGUCACGCCAUCU